rnacentral:rRNA from 1 species
CACGGAAUUAGCCGGUCCUUUUUCUGAAGGUACAUACAAUAGAGGACACGUCCUCUUUUUUAUUCCCAACUAAAAGCAGUUUACAACCCAGAGGGCCGUCAUCCUGCACGCUACUUGGCUGGUUCAGACUUUCGUCCAUUGACCAAUAUUCCUCACUGCUGCCUCCCGUAGGAGUCUGGACCGUGUCUCAGUUCCAGUGUGGGGGACCUUCCUCUCAGAACCCCUACCGAUCGAAGGCUAGGUGGGCCGUUACCCCGCCUACUACCUAAUCGGACGCAUCACCAUCUCAUACCGAUAAAUCUUUGGUUAUAUCACCAUGCGGUAACAUAACAACAUCGGGUAUUAAUCUUACUUUCGCAAGGCUAUCCCCGAGUAUGAGGCAGGUUUGAUACGCGUUACGCACCCGUGCGCCGGUCGCCAUCAGAAGAAGCAAGCUUCUUCCAUGCUGCCCCUCGACUUGCAUGUGUUAAGCCUGUAGCUAGCGUUCAUCCUGAGCCAGGAUCAAACUCUCG